GCCAUAGCUCAGUUGGUAGAGCAGGAGACUCCUAAUCACAGUGUUGUGGGUUCGAUUCCUAUGUUGCAGUG